rnacentral:lncRNA from 1 species
GAAUGAUAAUGGUCUUCGGGCCAUACCUUCAAAAUCACUGCUUUUAACCCUUGACCCAAUGUAAUGGUAACUCUGGUGUGCAAAUUUGCAGCCUUUUCAGCGGAUAGAUUGCAGGUUUUGUAUGUGUUGAAGAAGUUUUAGCAUGUGCCUUGUUUCGCUGCAUUUUUUUUAAGUAGGCAUAGGUUAUGACAUUUUUUGAAA